GAUGGUAAGAGAUGAGUAUGCGUCUGAUUAGCUAGUUGGUAGUGUAACGGACUACCAAGGCAACGAUCAGUAGGGGAUCUGAGAGGACUACCCCCCACACUGGUACUGAGACACGGACCAGACUCCUACGGGAGGCAGCAGUAAGGAAUAUUGGACAAUGCCCGCAAGGGUGAUCCAGCCAUGCCGCGUGCAGGAAGAAGGCCCUAUGGGUCGUAAACUGCUUUUGAACAAGAGAAAACCCCUUUACGUGUAAAGGGCUGAUAGUAUUGUUAGAAUAAGCAUCGGCUAACUUCGUGCCAGCAGCCGCGGUAAGACGAAGGAUGCAAGCGUUAUCCGGAUUCAUUGGGUUUAAAGGGUGCGUAGGCGGCCUAAUAAGUCAGUGGUGAAAUCUCCUCGCUUAACGAGGAAACUGCCAUUGAUACUGUUAGGCUUGAGUACAGUUGCUGUGGGCGGAAUAUGACAUGUAGUGGUGAAAUACAUAGAGAUGUCAUAGAACACCGAUUGCGAAGGCAGCUCACAAAACUGUAACUGACGCUGAGGCACGAAGGUGCGGGGAUCAAACAGGAUUAGAU
rnacentral:rRNA from 1 species